rnacentral:other from 1 species
AUCUCUGCUGCUGCACCAAGAGCGUGUGCAUCUUCAGUGGGCCUUGGAAUCCCUGGGAAUUGCCUUUGUGAGAUGCUAGACAUAAUUUGUUAAAUUCCAUCUCAGUUUUCCAUGGGACCAUCAAGAGACC